rnacentral:tRNA from 1 species
CAGGGAGACAAACAAUGAUUUUGAUGCCUGAGUACUUUUAUUCUUAGGCCGAAAUCCUGUCACCUUAGGUCGAUCGGUACCUCAGCGUUGAAGCAACAGAGUUAACAGAGAUGUUGAUGCGAGUUGUGGAGAUGAUCAGUUCCUAAACUUUGUCUAGGUCACACCCCACAAGGGUUGAGUUUUCCUGGGCCAUUAGCUCAGGUGGUUAGAGCGCACCCCUGAUAAGGGUGAGGUCCCUGGUUCAAGUCCAGGAUGGCCCAUUCGGUGUUGGGGGUUUAGCUCAGUUGGUAGAGCGCCUGCUUUGCAAGCAGGAUGUCAGGAGUUCG